GUGCUUGCUUUGGCAGCACAUAUUCUAAAACUGAAAUAAAACAGAGAAGAUUAGUAUGGUCCUACAUAAGGAUGUUACACAAAUUCAAGAACCUUCUGUUUUA